GUUGCCUGACGGCUUUAAAAAGGAGUAAACAUUCAUCCUGCUGACAUGGCAAUAAAACCGGUGCAUCUGGAAGAGAGGAGUCAGCAGCAGAUGUGCCCCUGCAAACUGCUUGCCGUGAUGAAUGCUCUUCCCAGAUACUGCUAAUCCCUUUUCUCUUGCUCCUAGGCCUCCUUAAUUGUGUUCCCUGUGAUUAAAUAACUCUUUGAAGACAUCACUAGAAUCUUGCACGCUGGAAUGUCGCUUGCCAGAAUUGAUUCCCCCUGUAUGGGUGCUGCCAGCUCAGCAAUGCACGAAGAAAUCACUGCUACAAACUGCCUUGUGCAAGCACCCUGAGCCCCGCCAGCCAAGACAGGUCACAGCAAUUGCUGAACACAGGUGACAUGGGCUAGAAGCAACACUUUCACUGUGCUGACCUACCUGGCUUUGGCUGGGCAUUGCCAGUGCUCGGCAGGUGACUGUCAGGAAGUCCCUAGCGUCACAGGUACGAGCUGGAGGUUGUGGCCAAACACCCAGUGAACACCCAGUGGUGGAAAUGGAGAGAAUGGGAGCCAGUAUGGGGAGGGGAAGAAGCAGCCUCUCAAGGCAUGGUGACAGUGUAAGGCGGCUGGGAUGCUCUUGUUGCUCCUGUUUUGGAAUAUCAGUCCAAUGUGUCUGGAGAGAAUCAGACACAGUGAUGGCAUCUGGCACUUCUGCUCCAUCUAUUCCUUGGUCUCCCACUGAGCCUGGUGUCGUGGGAUGCAAGCCAUGAGGGCAUGUUGCAGCCCCAGUUCUGGCACUGCUCUGCAGCGGCAAGGGGAAGAUGCUGUUUCAAACAUGGGAGCUGUGCAGCUUCAAGCCUUGAGCCCACGGAAGAUAAGCAGCAGCUCCAUAAGCUAUCCACGCCCUGCCAGGUACGAGGCCACCCUGCCAUCUGGCACCGCUCCUGGUUCGGUGCCUGGGAAAUAGAUAAGAGG